AUGGGGACGGCGGCGCGUGCGUCGGUGUGGUUGUGGGGCGCAGUGUUGGGGGCAGGAGCCUGCUACUGCGCCUACCGGCUGGCGCGGCACGAGCGCGGCAGAGGCUUCUCGGGCCGCCCCGUCAGGCCAGGUAACGCCAACAUUCCCAAAUCACCCGGUAGUCUAGAAGCGCAGGAUUUGCAGAAACUCAUUCGUUUGCUCGAGGCUGAGGAUCCGCUCGUUCGGGAGAAAGCCUUGAUCACUUUGGGCAACAGUGCCGCCUUCUCAGCCAACCAGGAAAUCAUACGGGAUUUUGGAGGCCUCCCGGCUAUUGGGAACCUGCUCGACGAUCCCACCCCCAAGGUGAAGGAGAAGGCCUUAGAUGCCCUCAAUAACCUGAGCAUGAAUUUGCGAAAUCAGGAAGAGAUUAAGGUGUUCGUCGGCAAAGUCUGCGAGGAGACCCUGUCCUCUCCUUUGAACUCAGCGCUCCAGCUAGCCGGACUGCGAUUAUUGACCAACAUGUCCGUCACCAACGACUACCAGCACCUGGUGUCGGAUUCGAUUUCCGACUUCCUCCAUCUGCUCUCAGCAGGAAAUGAAAACACCCAGGUUCAAGUUUUGAAAGUGCUUGUGAAUUUGUCUGCGAAUCCAGCCAUGACCAAAGAGCUUCUCAGCGCCCAGGCACCUCCGUCUCUGAUUUCCCUCUUCAACGGCAGCGUGGCGCGAGAGGUCCUCCUUCGCGUCGUUAGGCUGGUCGCCAAUUUAAAUGACCACGUGGGCCGCGAGGAGGUCGUCACGGCUCGUCGGCGUCCGCUCUCCGAGGAUUCGCUUUUUGCUCUCCUGUAUGGAGAGACUGGCCUGGGCGCCCAGAAACUGACUGCUUUGACCCACCAUCCCGACCCAGAAGUGAGAGAGCAAAUCGCCAGGAUCACAGCCGUUGGGAUGUGACCCAUCAGACGUUCCCGGAGGACUCUUCCCGGAGUUCCCAGGGGGGCAAAACUGAGGAGGAAAUGGCCCUUCUGAAGCCCGGUGCGAGUGAGGUGUGUGGGGACAACCCGUUUUCUGAGGUAUCCCGAGUAACGGAAUCCCACGCCAGAUGUGUACAUUCUGCGAAGUAUUUUGUUGUAAUGUGCGGUCGUCCUUGUCUGCCCACCAAUCGUCCGGCAUCAUUCACCAAGCCUCCUAACCGCACGGAUGCGAGUCGUGUCCCAGAGAGCCAAGAACAUAGUAAAUUGAAUGAAAUUCCCAGCGGGACCGUCUUUACUCAUUUCUUAUGCUGUUGUGGGGAAAGGCAUUAAAGGACAAGCUAGAGGAGAGGCAGAGAAACACACACACACACCCCAUAUGCACACUUUCCUAGAUACAUUCACUUUUAUGCAUUUGGUGAUGAUGGUGGUAGUUGUUUAGCACUUACUAUGUGUCAAGCACUUCUACCUGCUGGAGUAGAUACAAGCUAAUCAGCCCCCCACUCCCGUGCACACUGUCACACAUACACACACACGCAAAAACACUCUCUCCUUCAUACACACACAGGCACCAGUGCAGUAUAAACCUUGGUUGCAGCAAUGGCCUUGAGAGCCCGCUUCCUCCCCCUUCUGCUCCAUCAAUCGAUCAGCCGUAUAAAUACCGAGCGCUUCCUGUGUGCACAGCACUGUACUAAGCGCUGUGGAAGGGUACAGUACAACAGACUUGAUUAAAAAUGAUCCCUACCCUCAAGGAGCUUACAAGUCUACAAGGAGAAAUAAAAACUAACAAACAAUUACAGAUGAGGAAAACGGUAGAGCAUAAAAAACAUCAAACUCACAUUUUGAGUCCCUGCUAUAAUUUUCGGCCCGUGUCACCUAACGAAGAAUGUGUACUUCAUGUAGGCCGUAGCCAGACUGUCGCCUAGGGAGGUGGAUGAAAGGAAGAAUCGUCCUGAUAAAACCCAGAAAAAUCAGAGGUAUUUCAUGUUAGAGAAAAUGGCUAUGAGGUCAUUUCAACUAUGCCAGGUUAAAAAAAAAAAAAUUACCAAAUUCAUUUUAAUGACUCUAGAUGGGCCACGGGAUGAGGAAAUGUCAGCCGGAAGAAAUCAGUAGAACUGUUUUAUGGAGAAAGUGGUGAAUGAGAAGACUAGAUUUCCACCAUUAUUUCCACACUGGCCACCCACGAGUAGUGACUACGAGGCUAAAAACCGAAUCAUAGCUUUUAAAGUCUUGGAGUUCCCUGUGGUCAGUCACACAUGUAGGUUUUCUGACAGAAGGACAGAUUUCUACUCUAAUGGCUCGCCAGAGAUCCUUCACAGCUCACGCUCCCCCAGCCCUUCACUGUCCUGGUGGGUUUGGGUUGGUGGCAGUGAAUUAAUCCAAGGGGGCAUUUGCCCUUUCCUGCCAGCAUAAAGGCACAAAGCAGAGAUGAGAGCUAAAGGUGUUAGUGAACCUCACAUAAUGUCUCCCCGAGGUUAUCUCCUCAACUAAAAAUGAAAAAAGAAGGCAAAUGCUAGGGUUACAUCCAGAGAGCCUCAUGGCUCAAGAGCAAGUUCUUGCUAAAAAGUACCAGGUUGGACUCUUCUAUUCCAGUCAGUCUGAGCAUUUACAUCACCUUUGAGCACUUAGUUCAGCGUACACAUUAACCAACAACCGGAAUCAAAGUAGGUUGCCUGUUCUGCAAAGUGUUACCCACUGAUUUUAAAAAAAAAAAGAUGUUUCCAAAUGUAAAGAGAAGCAUACCCUUCGGUAAAAUUCUGUCUCUCAUUUUGCAUUUCAGUUGUAAAUGCAUCAACACUUA